CCACGGCUACAACCGCACAGAACAGGUUUUAAAACCAUUUGAAUGGUACCUGGGAUGGCGAGUCUUAGUAUAAGA
rfam:Bacillus azotoformans LMG 9581 contig111, whole genome shotgun sequence.